AUUUAUUUGAGCAAAAUUCUCAAUGAUUAUUGCUUCACUUAAUCUCUUCUGUUCCUUUCUCACUUCUUCGUUUUCUGUUUUUCCAAUUUGAAUAUUUCUAUUGACAUUUCCUCAAACUUAGUGAUUCUAUCCUCAGUCAUAUUCAGUCUACUAACAAGGUCAUCAAAGGCUCUUCAUUUCUCUUACAGUGUUUUUGAUUUCUAGCAUUUCUCUUUUUAAAAAUUGUAGUAAUAGCAUUUAACAUGAGACCUAUUCUUUCAACAAACUUUUAAGUAUUAGCUAUAGACAUUUAAUUGUACAGCAGAUGUCUGGAACUUAUUCAUCUUGUAUAACUAAAUCUUUAUACCCAAUGAAUAUCAACUCCCCAUUUCCCCCUCCCCGCCGCCAGCCUCUGGCAACCAGUCUUCUUACUCUCUGUACGGGUUUGGCUUUGGCUAUUUUUAGAUACUUCAUGUAAGUGGAACCACUUAUAUGAAGCAUCUAAAAAAGUAUUUGUUGUCCUGUGACUACCUUAUUUCACAUAGUGUAAUGUCCUCCACAUUCAUCCAUGUUGUCUCAUACUGUAGGAUUUCCUUCUUUUCUAAGGCUGAAUAAUACUUCAUUGUUUGCAUAUAUUUUCUUUAUCCAUUCAUCUGUCAAUGGACAUUUAGAUUAUUUUCCACAUCUUGGCAUACAUAAAUAGAGUUCCUUAUCCUUAGUUCAGGUCUUCGUUAAAACCUGAACUUCUCCAUUACCACUGUAAUCUGUAACAUUAACAUUCUCUAAUGGAUCUCUCUGAAUCUGACCUUCCAUCAUUCAGUCUAACUAUUACAUUGUUAGUAGUGUAUUUUUCUAAAAGGCAAAAAUAAUAAUCCUUGGUAAUAGAUGAGUAGCUCAUAAGAGGCUUAGUCCAUUUUGUGCUGCUAAAACAGAAUACCACAGACUGGGUAAUUUAUAAUGAACAGACAUUUAUUGGCUUAUAGUUCUGGAGGUCGAGAAGUCCAAUAUAAAGUACUAGCAUCUGGUGACGGCCUUCUUAUGCAUCAUAAUGUGGUGGAAUACAUCAUAUGGAUGAGAGAGACAGCAAGAGGGGACAAAACUCAUCCUUUUAUAAGAAACCCACUCCUAGGCUGGCGCAGUGGCUCAUGCCUGUAAUCCCAGCACUUUGGGAGGCUGAGGCAGGCAGAUCACCUGAGGUCAGGAGUUCAAGACCAGCCCGGCCAACAUGGUGAAACCUCAUCUCUACGAAAAAUACAAAAAUUAGCCAGGCAUGGUGGCAUGCACCUGUAAUUCCAGCUACUCAGGAGGAUGAGGCAGGAGAAUUGCUUGAACCCAGGAGGCGGAGGUUGCAGUGAGCUGAGGUCACACCACUGCAUUCCAGCCUGGGCAACAGAGUGAGACUCCAUCUAAAAAAAAAAAAGAAAAGAAAAAAAAGAAAAGAAAAGAAACCCACUCCUGUGAUAAUAAACCUACUCUCACAAUAAUGGCAUUAAUCCAUUUAUGAGGGCAGAGCUUUUACAAACUAAACACCUCUUAAAGGUCCCAUCUCCCACCACCUCCACAUUGGGGAUCAAGUUUCCAAUACAUGAACUUUAGGGGACACAUUCAAACCAUGGCAUAGGUUAAUCUUUUACACAAUUGAAAUUCACUAGAAAGGUGAACAAACAAGAACAUGGAAUCCAUAGUCAAGACAAACAAACGCUGAGAUAUUUGAAUUACCAGACAAAAUCUUGGAAGGAGCUAUUAUGGUCAUCUUCAAAGACUUAAAGGGAAAUGACCACAAUGACUAAACAAACUUAUAAUUUUAUUGGAGAAAUGGAUAAAAGAAAUCAAAUGGAAAUUCCAGAAAUGAAAAGUACUGUAUCUGAAAUGAAAUGUUUUCUGGGUGGGUUUAGCCAGUAGACUAGAGAUGGCAAAAGAAACUAGCAUGAACUGAAGAUGAGUGAACUGAAGGUAAAAUCAAAAGCUAGAGAGAAAAUUUUGAAAAUAGCCAAAGGAACAAGGAUACAGAUGGUGUCUUAUAUCUCAUUUGAGCAGUGGAGCCCAGAGAUAAUGGAACAACAUAUUAAAUGUGUUGAGAUGAAAAAAAUUUGCUUGCCCAGAAUAUCAUAUCCAUCUAGAAUAUCAUUCAAAAGAGAAUGAAGAAAUUUUGUGAUCAAUGAAAGCUGAGAGAUUUUUUUUUUUUUUUUUUUUUGCCAGCUCAUCAACACUACAAAUCUAAAGCUGAAAGCUCAGGGUACGGUAAUGACAGAUGGAAACUUCAUUACAGAAAGCAAUGAAGAACACCCAAGUGGUAAAUAUGUGGGUGUAGACCAGACCCAUGACUUGCUCCUAAACAACAGAAUAUGACAAAUGGAAUGGCACGUCACUCCCAUGAUUAUGUGAUGUUAUAUGACUGUGUCUUGCUAGCUGGCUGGCUCCACAGACGUUCUCUCUCCCUUGCUGGCUGUGAAGAAGCAAGCUGCCAGAACUCCUAAAGCCACAUGGAGCUCAUUGCUGCCAAAAGGAAUUGGGAAGCAAAUCCUUCCCUAGCUGAGCCUCCAGUUGAGAGCCAGUCCUGGCCAACACCUUGAAUGUAGCCUUGUAAGACCUUCUGAGGAGGACCAAGCUAUGCCGUAUCCAGAUGUGUGACCUGCAGAAACUCUGAGGUAAUAAUUGUGUGCUGAUUCAAGCUCCCAUGUUUGCAGUAAUUUCUUACGCAGCAUAGAAACAUAGACUACAAAUGUCUGGAAAAGAAUAGCAUGUGGCUUUUUAGCCAACCUGUGUGUGAUUUCAAGGGAGCAGGAGAUUUUAGAGGCAAUUAGUCUUAUAAAGGAUAUAUGAGUCCAUUUUGCACUGCUAUGAAGGAAUAGCAGAGACUGGGUAAUUUUACAAGGAAAAUAGGCUUAUUUGACUCAUGGUUCUGCAGGCUGCACAAGAAGCAUGGUGCCAGCAUCAGUUUUUAAUGCGGGCCUCAGGACACGUACAGUCAUAGUGGAAGGCAAGAGGAGCUGGAUGUGGCACACCUUAAGAGAGGAGGCAAGACAGAGGGU
rnacentral:lncRNA from 10 species